UACGUAGGGGGCUAGCGUUGUCCGGAAUCAUUGGGCGUAAAGCGCGCGUAGGCGGCCCGGUAAGUCCGCUGUAAAAGUCAGAGGCUCAACCUUUGAAUGUCAGUGGAUACUGCCGGGCUAGAGUCCGGAAGAGGCGAGUGGAAUUCCUGGUGUAGCGGUGGAAUGCGCAGAUAUCAGGAGGAACACCGACGGCGAAGGCAGCUCGCUGGGACGGUACUGACGCUGAGGCGCGAAAGCUAGGGGAGCGAACGGG
rnacentral:rRNA from 1 species